rnacentral:rRNA from 1 species
AACGAACGCUGGUGGCAUGCCUAACACAUGCAAGUCGAACGAGACCUUCGGGUCUAGUGGCGCACGGGUGCGUAACGCGUGGGAACCUGCCCUUAGGUUCGGAAUAACUCCCCGAAAGGGGUUCUAAUACCGGAUAAUGUCUUCGGACCAAAGAUUUAUCGCCUUUGGAUGGGCCCGCGUUGGAUUAGCUAGUUGGUAGGGUAAAAGCCUACCAAGGCGACGAUCCAUAGCUGGUCUGAGAGGAUGAUCAGCCACACUGGGACUGAGACACGGCCCAGACUCCUACGGGAGGCAGCAGUGGGGAAUAUUGGACAAUGGGCGAAAGCCUGAUCCAGCAAUGCCGCGUGAGUGAUGAAGGCCUUAGGGUUGUAAAGCUCUUUUACCCGGGAUGAUAAUGACAGUACCGGGAGAAUAAGCUCCGGCUAACUCCGUG